rnacentral:misc_RNA from 1 species
AUGUGAAGGAUGCACCGAAGGCUCCGUCGCUGGCCUGCGAAGGAUCAUUUGCGAAGGAUGCGACGCACGCCAAGCUGGUCACCGAAUUCGGCACGAAACACGUCGUGUUCAAGGACGUCGAAGUCACCAGCGGCGUCCUGACCAAGGCGACUGUCAUUUUCGACGAUGACCCGACCCGGCGCUUGGUGAUCUACUGGAAGGACGACAAGGCCCGCGCCAGACCCGCCUCCAUCUCGAUCGAAGCGCCUUC